CAAAGGAUAGUUUAUUAAAAAUAUUAAUUUUGGAGAUUAAUGAUAAAAGUUUAUUUUUUCCUUUGA
rnacentral:tRNA from 1 species